ACGGAGGGUGCAAGCGUUAUUCGGAAUUACUGGGCGUAAAGCGCGUGUAGGCGGUCCUUUAAGUCUGAUGUGAAAGCCCCGGGCUUAACCCGGGAAGUGCAUUGGAAACUGUGGGACUUGAGUCCUGGAGAGGAUAGGGGAAUUCCCGGUGUAGCGGUGAAAUGCGUAGAGAUCGGGAGGAACAUCAGUGGCGAAGGCGGCUAUCUGGACUGUAACUGACGCUGAGGCGCGAAAGCGUGGGGAGCAAACAG
rnacentral:rRNA from 1 species